GACAGAGGGUGCAAACGUUGUUCGGAAUUACUGGGCGUAAAGCGCGUGUAGGCUGCCUUGCAAGUCGGGUGUGAAAGCCCUGGGCUCAACCUAGGAAGUGCACUCGAAACUGCGGGGCUGGAGUCCUGGAGAGGAAGGCGGAAUUCUCGGUGUAGAGGUGAAAUUCGUAGAUAUCGAGAGGAACACCGGUGGCGAAGGCGGCCUUCUGGACAGUGACGUGACGCUGAGACGGCGAAAAGCGU
rnacentral:rRNA from 1 species